UACUCCCUCACCUAGCCUUUUUUUCUUUCCUGCUUCCCGCAGAGCCUCAUUCUCACCACACUCCGGAGCAGCCUGGACACGGACACUCCCACAGUGGCCAGGGCCCCAUUCUCUCUGUGGGGCUGUGGGUUCUCAGUGGAUUGUUGCCUUCCUUGUGGUGGAGAAAUUUGUGAGACCGUGAAAGGAGGACAUGGCCACAGCCACGGACAUGGUGACAGCCACGCGCAUGGCGACAGUCACGCACAUGGACACAGCCACGCACGUGGAGAGAGACAGGAGUGUUCUUCAAAGGAAAAGCGCAGCUCAGAGGAGGAAAAGGAAGCAGGGGCCAUUGCGGAAAAGGAGAGGAGGAAACACGGGGUCCAGAGAUGGCCCGGUGAAACCUCAGAAACCCUGAAGAAGAAAAAGCAGGCUCAGAUCUGCGUGUGUCUGGGUACCUGAAUCUGGCUGCUGACUUGGCACACAACUUCACAGACGGGCUGGCCAUUGGUGCUUCCUUUCGUGGGGGCCGAGGGCUAGGCAUCCUGACCACAAUGACAGUCCUGCUACAUGAAGUGCCUCAUGAGGUCGGGGACUUUGCCAUCUUGGUCCAGUCUGGCUGCAGCAAGAAACAGGCGAUGCGUCUGCAACUCCUGACUGCAAUUGGAGCACUGGCAGGCACAGCCUGUGCCCUUCUCACUGAGGGAGGGGCAGUGGGCAGUGAAGUGGCAGGUGGUGCAGGUCCCGGCUGGGUUCUGCCCUUCACUGCAGGUGGGUUUAUCUAUGUAGCAACAGUGUCUGUGCUACCUGAGCUACUGAGAGAGGCGUCUCCAUUACAGUCACUUUUGGAGGUGCUGGGUCUGCUGGGGGGUGUUGCCAUGAUGGUACUGAUUGCCCAUCUUGAGUGAGGGGUAGGGUGACCUGUCCUGCCCCUCACUCCUAAGUAAGGCAGUUGGGAGCCCUGGCCAGGCUAUUGCCAGAGGAGUUUUGGCCUUGGAGAAUGGCAUCUUUGGUAUUUGAGGCCUUAGCGGUAUGAGAGUCAUACAGAGCAUGAGAGGCCAGAGGGACCACGGUGUGGGAGACUGCCCAGCAGCGUUGUUGGUUUGGAGAAAUAAAUGGGACCAUGAAGAAGACUGGAAAGACAGUAGUCUACCUGGUGGUCUCUAGACUACAUUUUCCCAGCACCAGCAAGGGUCCUCCAAGGUUCGUCUCCCUCUGAACUGGUUAGUGAUGGCUUCAGAGAAGACCUGGCAGAAGGAGUGGGUAGACAUCAAUCGUGUGUCCUGAUUUGAAAACGGGGGCGGGGGUGUUCUUUGGGAAAAUGCCACAGCCUUGUUUCUACUCAUUUUAUACCACUGUUUGGAUGGGUGGGGAGGAACGGUGACCAGAAAUAAAAGUACUUGGAUCUUCCGCGCCA